rnacentral:rRNA from 1 species
AGGACGAACGCUGGCGGCGUGCCUAACACAUGCAAGUGGAGCGACGACCCAGGCUUCGGCCUGGUGCAAAGCCGCGAACGGGUGAGUAACACGUGGGUAACCUGCCCCGAUGAUUGGGACAACCCGAGGAAACUCGGGCUAAUACCGAAUGUGCCCUACAGCCGUAAGGUUGCUGGGGAAAGGAAGCUUCGGCCUCCGCAUCGGGAUGGGCCCGCGGCCCAUUAGCUUGUUGGUGAGGUAAUGGCUCACCAAGGCGACGACGGGUA